UGAAUUUGAUUUUUAAGUGAAAAAGCUUAAAUAUUUUUGGGGGACGAUAAGACCCUAUGGAUCUUUAUAAUGAUGAUUAAUAAAAAGUUUAGAAGUUACAGCUUUUUACUCUAAGUUAUUGGGUUGGGGCGACUGGAAGAAAAAAAUAUCUCUUCUUAAAAAUAAAUAUUAUUUAUAGAAUUAAAAAUGACCCUAAAUUUUGGUUUAGCAGAUCAAGUUACCCUAGGGAUAACAGCGUAAUCUUUUUGGAGAGUUCAUAUCGAUGAAAAGGUUUGCGACCUCGAUGUUGGAUUAAGAGAUCCUUGCGGCGCAGCAGUUGCGGAGGAAAGUCUGUUCGACUUUUAAAUUCUU
rnacentral:rRNA from 1 species